CUGAAUGUUGACCUCGGAUCAGGUAGGAAUACCCGCUGAACUUAAGCAUAUCAAAAACCGGGAGGAAAA
rnacentral:rRNA from 1 species